UUUACGGAGAGUUUGAUCCUGGCUCAGGAUGAACGCUGGCGGCGUGCUUAACACAUGCAAGUCGAACGAUGAAGCCCAGCUUGCUGGGUGGAUUAGUGGCGAACGGGUGAGUAACACGUGAGUAACCUGCCCUUAACUCUGGGAUAAGCCUGGGAAACUGGGUCUAAUACCGGAUAGGAGCGCCUACCGCAUGGUGGGUGUUGGAAAGAUUUAUCGGUUUUGGAUGGACUCGCGGCCUAUCAGCUUGUUGGUGAGGUAAUGGCUCACCAAGGCGACGACGGGUAGCCGGCCUGAGAGGGUGACCGGCCACACUGGGACUGAGACACGGCCCAGACUCCUACGGGAGGCAGCAGUGGGGAAUAUUGCACAAUGGGCGCAAGCCUGAUGCAGCGACGCCGCGUGAGGGAUGACGGCCUUCGGGUUGUAAACCUCUUUCAGUAGGGAAGAAGCGAAAGUGACGGUACCUGCAGAAGAAGCACCGGCUAACUACGUGCCAGCAGCCGCGGUAAUACGUAGGGUGCGAGCGUUAUCCGGAAUUAUUGGGCGUAAAGAGCUCGUAGGCGGUUUGUCGCGUCUGUCGUGAAAGUCCGGGGCUUAACCCCGGAUCUGCGGUGGGUACGGGCAGACUAGAGUGCAGUAGGGGAGACUGGAAUUCCUGGUGUAGCGGUGGAAUGCGCAGAUAUCAGGAGGAACACCGAUGGCGAAGGCAGGUCUCUGGGCUGUAACUGACGCUGAGGAGCGAAAGCAUGGGGAGCGAACAGGAUUAGAUACCCUGGUAGUCCAUGCCGUAAACGUUGGGCACUAGGUGUGGGGACCAUUCCACGGUUUCCGCGCCGCAGCUAACGCAUUAAGUGCCCCGCCUGGGGAGUACGGCCGCAAGGCUAAAACUCAAAGGAAUUGACGGGGGCCCGCACAAGCGGCGGAGCAUGCGGAUUAAUUCGAUGCAACGCGAAGAACCUUACCAAGGCUUGACAUGUUCUCGAUCGCCGUAGAGAUACGGUUUCCCCUUUGGGGCGGGUUCACAGGUGGUGCAUGGUUGUCGUCAGCUCGUGUCGUGAGAUGUUGGGUUAAGUCCCGCAACGAGCGCAACCCUCGUUCCAUGUUGCCAGCACGUA
rnacentral:rRNA from 1 species